AGUCGAACGUGAAAGCACUUCGGUGUGAGUAGAGUGGCGGACGGGUGAGUAACGCGUGGGAAUCUGCCCAGUAGUGGGGGACAACUACCGGAAACGGUAGCUAAUACCGCAUACGCCCUAUGGGGGAAAGGCUUCGGCCGCUAUUGGAUGAGCCCGCGUCAGAUUAGCUAGUUGGUAGGGUAAAGGCCUACCAAGGCAACGAUCUGUAGCUGGUCUGAGAGGACGAACAGCCACACUGGGACUGAGACACGGCCCAGACUCCUACGGGAGGCAGCAGUGGGGAAUAUUGGACAAUGGGCGAAAGCCUGAUCCAGCAAUGCCGCGUGUGUGAAGAAGGCCUGCGGGUUGUAAAGCACUUUCAGUUGGGAAGAUGAUGACGUUACCAACAGAAGAAGCACCGGCUAAAUCCGUGCCAGCAGCCGCGGUAAUACGGAUGGUGCGAGCGUUAAUCGGAAUUACUGGGCGUAAAGCGCGCGUAGGCGGCUAAGUCAGUCAGAAGUGAAAGCCCCGGGCUCAACCUGGGAAUUGCUUUUGAUACUGCUUGGCUAGAGUUUGGUAGAGGAUAGUGGAAUUCCAGGUGUAGCGGUGAAAUGCGUAGAUAUCUGGAGGAACAUCAGUGGCGAAGGCGACUGUCUGGACCAAAACUGACGCUGAGGUGCGAAAGCGUGGGUAGCAAACAGGAUUAGAUACCCUGGUAGUCCACGCCGUAAACGAUGUCAACUAGCCGUCGGGUCUAUUUACAGACUUGGUGGCGCAGCUAACGCGAUAAGUUGACCGCCUGGGGAGUACGGCCGCAAGGUUAAAACUCAAAGGAAUUGACGGGGGCCCGCACAAGCGGUGGAGCAUGUGGUUUAAUUCGAUGC
rnacentral:rRNA from 1 species